GAUGAACGCUGGCGGCGUGCCUAAUACAUGCAAGUCGAGCGAACAGACGAGGAGCUUACUCCUCUGACGUUAGCGGCGGACGGGUGAGUAACACGUGGAUAACCUACCUAUAAGACUGGGAUAACUUCGGGAAACCGGAGCUAAUACCGGAUAACAUGUUGAACCGCAUGGUUCAACAGUGAAAGACGGUCUUGCUGUCACUUAUAGAUGGAUCCGCGUCGCAUUAGCUAGUUGGUAAGGUAACGGCUUACCAAGGCAACGAUGCGUAGCCGACCUGAGAGGGUGAUCGGCCACACUGGAACUGAGACACGGUCCAGACUCCUACGGGAGGCAGCAGUAGGGAAUCUUCCGCAAUGGGCGAAAGCCUGACGGAGCAACGCCGCGUGAGUGAAGAAGGUCUUCGGAUCGUAAAACCCUGUUAUUAGGGAAGAACAAAUGUGUAAGUAACUAUGCACGUCUUGACGGUACCUAAUCAGAAAGCCACGGCUAACUACGUG
rnacentral:rRNA from 1 species